GGAUGUGAGGGCGAUCUGGCUGUGACAUCUGCCACACGUUGAUCACCAGGGUUGAUUUGGCUGAUCUGGCUGGCUAGGCUGGUGUCCUCUUCCUCCCUCACCGCUCCACGUGUGUCCCUCCCAAAGCUGCACACUCAGUCAAAGAGGAUGACCAUCCCCGAUAGAGGAGGGCCAGUCUUCAGUGAAGGGCGCACAAGUAGCUGCGCUUCCCAGCUAGAACCUCCAAACAAGCUCUCAAAGUCUACAUUAUUUAUCAUCAAGUGAUAUUGCCUCUCUAAAGAGAAAAUCGAAAAAUUCAGGAAGACUGCUUCUUACAUGUGGUCAGGGCUAUACAUAGUAGACAUUCCUUAACU
ensembl:misc_RNA 7SK 7SK RNA